UUCUCUCUCCUCACUCUCUCUUCUUCCUCGCGACAUCUCCCCCCCCUCUGGUUUUCCAGCCGACAUCACCCCUCCUCCCAGCCACCACCAGCGACGCCGGCCAGCCCAGAUCAGACUGGCGACUCCCCAGCCUCCUUGCUCGACGUCCUCCCCCGCCGCCUGCCGCCACGAAUCGCUGGAGAGAACCAGAAAAUCGCGGCAGAUUUUCUCCGAUUUUCAAAUCCCUCAAACUCCCUCCUCCGGCCACCAAAUCGGACGAAUUAGGCACCCGGGCACCAGGCGACCCGCAGGAGGGACCUUCAAAGGGU